rnacentral:rRNA from 1 species
CUACGCACUCCUACGGGAGGCAGCAGUGGGGAAUAUUGCACAAUGGGGGAAACCCUGAUGCAGCCAUGCCGCGUGUGUGAAGAAGGCCUUCGGGUUGUAAAGCACUUUCAGUAGGGAGGAAGGUAGUGUAGUUAACACCUGCAUUAUUUGACGUUACCUACAGAAGAAGCACCGGCUAACUCCGUGCCAGCAGCCGCGGUAAUACGGAGGGUGCGAGCGUUAAUCGGAAUUACUGGGCGUAAAGCGCAUGCAGGCGGCCUGUUAAGUCAGAUGUGAAAGCCCCGGGGCUUAACCUCGGAAUUGCAUUUGAAACUGGCAGGCUAGAGUCUUGUAGAGGGGGUAGAAUUUCAGGUGUAGCGGUGAAAUGCGUAGAGAUCUGAAGGAAUACCAGUGGCGAAGGCGGCCCCCUGGACAAAGACUGACGCUCAGAUGCGAAAGCGUGGGGAGCAAACAGGAUUAGAUACCCUGGUGG